GCAUAAUAAUUUGCCUUCUAAUUAAAGGCCUGUAUGAAUGGCUUUACGCAAGCCCUACUGUCUCUUUUAUAAUAAUUGAAAUUAACUUUUAGGUGAAUAGACCUAAAUUCCCUUGAAAGACAAGAAGACCCUGCAGAACUUAACUUAUAAAUUUUAAUAUUGGUGAAAUUUAUUAAAUCAUUAAUCUUUCUAAUAGUAUGUUUUGUUGGGGCAACAAAGGAAUAAUUCUAACUUCCUGUAUAAUGUAAAAAUUUAUAAAUUUUAUUAAUUUGAUCCUUAUAAAAGCAAACCAGCAUAAGCUACCUCAGGGAUAACAGACUAAUCUAUUUUUGGAGCCCUUAUCGGAAAAUAGGC
rnacentral:rRNA from 1 species